rnacentral:rRNA from 1 species
GUGUCAGCCGCCGCGGUAAUACGUAGGGUGCGAGCGUUAAUCGGAAUUACUGGGCGUAAAGGGUGCGCAGGCGGUUCUGCAAGUCAGGCGUGAAAGCCCCGGGCUUAACCUGGGAAUGGCGCUUGAAACUACAGGACUGGAGUAUGGCAGAGGGAGGUGGAAUUCCACGUGUAGCGGUGAAAUGCGUAGAGAUGUGGAGGAACACCGAUGGCGAAGGCAGCCUCCUGGGCCAAUACUGACGCUCAUGCACGAAAGCGUGGGGAGCAAACAGGAUUAGAAACCCGUGUAGUCC